UUCAGAGAAUGCUGGGUGGAGGGACAUUGUGGAGAUCCAAAAUAUGGGGAUUUACCAGCACUAGGGGUGAUCAGGCUCUAGAAAAAUGGAGGGUAAAGACCCUGCAGUUAACCUACAGGAGCUUAUCCUCCUCUUCCACAAAGACUUAAGUUCAAGGACUAUCUGGCUUCCUAAAAUCACACUUCUCCCUCAGCUGUGAAAUGGACCUGAAAGAAUGACUUAUUCAAGACAUCAAAGAAGUUGUAACUGUUAAGAAAUGUGGGAAACAUUACUCACACCGAGGUUUGAUUCAGAAAGGAAAUCAGCUGAAAUUACAGCUCUCACGAGAAACCUUGGUUACUUAGAAGAAGACCGCAUAAUGGUCAAAAGAACACCACCAGACUGACGGAACAUUAGCGUCCCUUUAUCCUCAGACAGCUUUUCGAGAUGGAUGUUAAUUGUUCCGUUUUUAGGGCCAGUGAAACUGAGAUGCGGAGAAUAAAGUCACUUGCUCACCAUCACGUAUCUGGGAAUCAAACUCAUGACCUUACGCUUGCCAGGCAGGCAGGCAUGGUGCCACUGAGCUAUAUCUCCGGCCCUAAAACACUACUGCUGCAAGAACAGUGGAUGACUGCAUUAGAGCAGACGUGUGAGGAAUAUCCGAAAUGAUACCCUAGUACCUGGAAAAACGGAACC